CAGUAGUCACGUAGUUGAUCAGUGGCACAGAACGAACGCUGGCGGCAUGCCUAACACAUGCAAGUCGAACGAGACCUUCGGGUCUAGUGGCGCACGGGUGCGUAACGCGUGGGAACCUGCCUUUAGGUUCGGAAUAACUCAGAGAAAUUUGAGCUAAUACCGGAUAAUGUCUUCGGACCAAAGAUUUAUCGCCUUUAGAUGGGCCCGCGUUGGAUUAGCUAGUUGGUGGGUAAAGGCCUACCAAGGCGACGAUCCAUAGCUGGUCUGAGAGGAUGAUCAGCCACACUGGGACUGAGACACGGCCCAGACUCCUACGGGAGGCAGCAGUGGGGAAUAUUGGACAAUGGGCGAAAGCCUGAUCCAGCAAUGCCGCGUGAGUGAUGAAGGCCUUAGGGUUGUAAAGCUCUUUUACCCGAGAUGAUAAUGACAGUAUCGGGAGAAUAAGCUCCGGCUAACUCCGUG
rnacentral:rRNA from 1 species